CCUACGGGGGGCAGCAGUGGGGAAUAUUGCACAAUGGGGGGAACCCUGAUGCAGCGACGCCGCGUGAGCGAAGAAGUAUCUCGGUAUGUAAAGCUCUAUCAGCAGGGAAGAAAAUGACGGUACCUGACUAAGAAGCUCCGGCUAAAUACGUGCCAGCAGCCGCGGUAAUACGUAUGGAGCAAGCGUUAUCCGGAUUUACUGGGUGUAAAGGGAGCGCAGGCGGCGCGCCAAGUCUGGUGUGAAACCCCGGGGCUCAACCCCGGGACUGCAUUGGAAACUGGCGUGCUGGAGUGUCGGAGGGGCAG
rnacentral:rRNA from 1 species